AACGUGUGCAAGCUCUGGCAACUGCAACUCGAGACCUUGUGCUUUUCUUCAAAAGGGAUUUUUUUUUUAUCUCGUGACUUUGAAAUACCUGUACAACAAUAAUUAUUCUGGAUGUGACAACAUUCAUGGAGGAAUAACGAGUUAGUUUAUUGGGUUGUACCCAGAUUCUAAUAGUUUUUCAUAGUUGCAUGUAUGUUCGGUUUCCUGGAAAUACACAAGACCUUGUUUGUGAUUUACUAGCUGGAAAAACAAGGCAAGAGCUGCAAGACUUUUUUUGAGUGUAACCAUGAAAUACACAAAGAUUUUGUGAAGGAUUUUG